rnacentral:rRNA from 1 species
AACGAACGCUGGCGGCAGGCUUAACACAUGCAAGUCGAACGCAUCGCAAGAUGAGUGGCAGACGGGUGAGUAACGCGUGGGAAUCUACCCAGUUCUACGGAACAACAGUUGGAAACGACUGCUAAUACCGUAUACGCCCUACGGGGGAAAGAUUUAUCGGAAUUGGAUGAGCCCGCGUAAGAUUAGCUAGUUGGUGGGGUAAUGGCCUACCAAGGCGACGAUCUUUAGCUGGUCUGAGAGGAUGAUCAGCCACACUGGGACUGAGACACGGCCCAGCCUCCUACGGGAGGCAGCAGUGGGGAAUAUUGGACAAUGGGCGCAAGCCUGAUCCAGCCAUGCCGCGUGAGUGAUGAAGGCCUUAGGGUUGUAAAGCUCUUUCACCGAUGAAGAUAAUGACGGUAGUCGGAGAAGAAGCCCCGGCUAACUUCGUGCCAGCAGCCGCCGUAAGAC